rnacentral:sRNA from 1 species
CAACAGAAGGUCCAACAAAGAAGGUUC